GAAUUUGAUCCUGGUUCAGAUUGAACGCCGGCGGCAGGCCUAACAGAUGCAAGUCGAGCGGAAACGACAUAAACAAUCCUUCGGGUGCGUUAAUCGGCGUCGAGCGGCGGACGGGUGAGUAAUGCCUAGUAAAUUGCCUUGAUGUGGGGAAUAACCAUUGGAAACGAUGCCUAAUACCGCAUAAUGCCUACGGGCCAACGAGGGGGACCUUCGGGCCUCUCGCGUCUAGAUAUGCCUAGGUGGGAUUAGCCAGUUGGUGAGGUAAUGGCUCAACAAGGCGACGAUCCCUAGAUGGUCUGAGAGGAUGAUCAGCCACCCUGGAACUGAGACACGGUCCAGACUCCCACGGGAGGCAGCAGUGGGGAAUAUUGGUACAAUGGGCGAAAGCCUGAUGCACCCAUGCCGCGUGUAUGAAGAAGGCCUCCGGGUUGUAAAGUACUUUCAGAUGUGAGGAAGGGGGUAGUGUUAAUACCGCUAUCUCUUGACGUUAGCAACAGAAGAAGCACCGGCUAACUCCGUGCCAGCAGCCGCGCUAAUACGGAGGGUGCGAGCGUUAAUCGGAAUUACUGGGCGUAAAUCGCAUGCAGGUGGUUCAUUAAGUCAGAUGUGAAAGCCCGGGGCUCAACCUCGGAACUGCAAUUGAAACUGGUGAACUAGAGUAAUGUAGAGGGGGGUAGAAUUUCAGGUGUAGGGGUGAAAUGCGUAGAGAUCUGAAGGAAUACCAGUGGCGAAAGACGGCCCCCUGGACAGAUACUGACACUCAGAUGCGAAAGCGUGGGCAGCAAACAGGAUUAGAUACCCUGGUAGUCCACGCCGUAAACGAUGUCCACUUGGAGGUUGUGGCCUUGAGCCGUGGCUUUCGGAGCUAACGCGUUACGUAGACCG
rnacentral:rRNA from 1 species